ensembl:lncRNA
CCCAGUGGACCCCAGACCCCAAGUGUACCCCAGACCCCAAGUGGACCCCAGACCCCCCAGACCACGUGGUCCGCCCCGAGAGCCAGCGGCCCCAGCAGCAGCGUGGGAGAGCAGCAAGGAGGGAGAGGAGGUACAGGGGGAGGAUCCAGAGGAUAAAAUGGCCGCCGCCGAGCAGCAUCAGGCAGUAGGGGGCGUGGGGACCCCCCAGGCAGGCAUGCAGGAAGUGCCUGAGACUCUGAAGGAGGCGCAGUCGCCCAGCCCCCCAACAGGGGAAAGCCUGCCCCCGCCCUCCUGGGAGGACCAUCCUCUGAGCCCACUCCUGGACCUCACCCCCCAGGGGAAGGUUGCCGACCAGGGGGGGCAGGGGGCGGGGCCAGCAGCCCUCCCCAACGGGCUCAGGGCGGAGUUCGCCCUGCUGGAGGCUGAGGGCCCCAAGGCAGCCGGCUCUCUGCUGGAGGCUGAGGGCCCCAAGGCAACCGGCUCUCUGCUGGAGGCUGAGGGCCCCAAGGCAACCGGCUCUCUGCUGGAGGCUGAGGGCCCCAAGGCAGAGACCUGUCUGCUGGAGGCUGAGGGCCCCAAGGCAGCCGGCUCUCUGCGGGAGGCUGAGGGCCCCAAGGCAACCGGCUCUCUGCUGGAGGCUGAGGGCCCCAAGGCAGAGACCUGUCUGCUGGAGGCUGAGGGCCCCAAGGCAACCGGCUCUCUGCUGGAGGCUGAGGGCCCCAAGGCAACCGGCUCUCUGCUGGAGGCUGAGGGCCCCAAGGCAGAGACCUGUCUGCUGGAGGCUGAGGGCCCCAAGGCAGCCGGCAGUCUGCUGGAACACGAGCUGAGCUGCGGGCCGGACGUGGAGACGCUGCUGCUGGACGCCAGCCUGGAGACGGAGCGGAGAGACGCGCCCUGAAGACCCCAGGCUGCGUCGUGGGAACCCCGGUCUGCCUCCUCAGAUGGUCGCCUCUCUCCGCCAGACCCUCUGCCGGCUGGAACACCGUACAUAAAGAUAUACCAACAUGUUAAAUAGACCAAAAAGAUAGAGCAUCUCAGACAGAAAGACUUUUGAAAACAACUCCACCAUCACCACGCUUUGGCACCAGGCAUCAGAGCUCCACCUGCCCCACACUACACCCCCCACUGAGCCCCAGGAGGAGGUGCUACCGUCGGGCGCUCUGCUCCAUCGACGCCCCAGACCCCCACACCACAAGAGGGGGCUGAUGACACUAACCAAAGACUACAGAAUACAGCCCCCCCCCCAGGCAACAGGUGUGGUAUGGUGUGUACCCCACCCUGUCAGGCGCUCCCAGGAGCCAGGCGUCUUCCUCGCUGGGUUCCUCAGCCUGGGGGUCUCCAAGCUCACAGAUCUGUUUGGUCCCCGAGGGAAAAUGAGUUGAGAAAGUUGUUGAAAGUGUCCCUCUUGUGUUGCUGUGUCCCUGCCCCGGCCCCCCCUACACUACUGUCCUCAUUCUGAUGAGUCGUGCUGUUAAUGGAAGUCAAACUGUACGGCCUUCAAAUCUGCCGACCAAAUCCAAUCGCAGACACCUUAACGUGGUCUCGCCCCCCACCGGCUCACAGCUGCGGGGGACACAUAAAGCGUCUUGAUACGAGUAGAUGGUCCCCUGUUCCUUCCUUCCUGGUCUUCUUUAUUCCGUCUUCCACUAGUACCGCCCCCCCCCCGUGAUUCAUGUUGCCUUCACUUCAUUCUUAGUUUGAAUUUUAUCCUGGCUUUUGUUUUGCUGCUUUGAGAAAUCGAUUGUUUUUGUAUUUAUUUUAUAGAUCUAUGAGCGUCUCUGUGUGGAUUAUUCCCCUCCCUUCCCUUUUGUGUUUAAUGUUAUUUCUUUAUUAAGGGUUUUUGCUUUAAGCGACUUGCCCCGUUGGUGUAAAUGUCCUGUUGGAUUAGGUGGUUGUUUCUCUUGAUUGGGGAAAGGGUCUUGGUAAUAAAGAUAUCUUCGGGUGAAGGGUUUACGUCAAUGUUGGAAUGAUUGAACUGUUAAGACAACAAGCACGAAGAGCGUUGUUUUCAGGAGGGGCAGCACUUGCAGGCUCACACCCGAACAAUGCUCACACCGACCACCGCUCACAUCCCGCUCACAUCCCGCUCACAACCCGCUCACACCCGACCAAUGCUCACAUCCCGCUCACACCCAACCACUGCUCACACCCCGCUCACACCAGACCAAUGCUCACACCCCGCUCACACCCGACGAAUGCUCACACCCCGCUCACAUCCCGCUCACACCCAACCACUGCUCACACCCGCUCACACCAGACCAAUGCUCACAUCCCGCUCACACCGCUCACACCCGCUCACACCCGACGAAUGUGCUCACACCCCGCUCACACCCGCUCACACCCGACCAAUGCUCACACCCGA